ensembl:lncRNA
AAAAAAGGUGGAGAGAGAGAGACCAAGACAGAGAGCAAGAGACAGAUAGAAAAAAAGGUGGAGAGAGAGACAUCAAGACAGAGAGCAAGAGACAGAUAGAAAAAAGGUGGAGAGAGAGAGAGACCAAGACAGAGCAAGAGACAGAUAGAAAAAAAGGUGGAGAGAGAGACAUCAAGAGAGAGCAAGAGACAGAUAGAAAAAAGGUGGAGAGAGAGAGAGACCAAGACAGAGAGCAAGAGACAGAUAGAAAAAGGUGGAGAGAGAGACAUCAAGACAGAGAGCAAGAGACAGAUAGAAAAAAGGUGGAGAGAGAGAGACCAAGACAGAGAGCAAGAGACAGAUAGAAAAAAGGUGGAGAGAGAGAGACAUCAAGACAGAGCAAGAAGCAGGAGAGAGAGAGACAGAAAGAGAAAAAAAGAAAGACUGAGGGAGAGCGGUAGACACCAAGAUGUAGAGAGCAAGAGAGAGAUUUAAAAAUAGUGGCAGAAAUCAUGGCUGCUCCUCUCAAACCCGCGCCACUUUAAUUAUGAGCGUUUGGAUCAGGAGAAAUUAAGACGCCGUCGCCGCAGUGCUUUAGAGCCAGAACAUUGAAGAGCGCAAUGACACCCCAACAUACCAGCCGACCCAUCAAGCCUGCACUAACACAGCAUUCCUCAAAGGAGGAAAGGGGAGAGAGGAGACGAAAGGAGGAGGGGGAAGUAAGAGAAGGGGCAGAGGAGAGGGAAUGAUGUUUGACGUGGCGUCGGUUCGGCACACGCGAGGCCUUGAAGCUGAAUCCCCCUGCUAAGACUGCAAAUUACCGGUAUUGACAGUCUGAUUCCGAAAAAUACAAACACAACGGUGAAAAUGCCUUUGGAGAAUUCCCUUUAAACUAAAAUGAAACCCCAUUCACUGAAAAGUGGACCACUUGGAGAGCAGCUUCAAUCAAACAUCAUUCACUAAAUGAAAAAGAGAUCUGCACUCAGUCAGAAAACGUCCUAAAAGGAGUUCACCUGGGCUCCAUUCGCAUCCAUUGGAGCGGAGCGGCAGUGACACUGGGAGGAUUUGGGAAGAAAAC